rnacentral:rRNA from 1 species
UACGUAGGCAGCAAGCGUUGUUCGGAGUUACUGGGCGUAAAGGGUGCGUAGGCGGUCCUGUAAGUAUGGUGUGAAAUCUCCCGGCUUAACUGGGAGGGUGCGCUAUAGACUGCGGGACUAGAGGGUGGGAGAGGAAAGUGGAAUUCCUGGUGCAGCGGUGAAAUGCGUAGAUAUCAGGAGGAACACCGGUGGUGUAAACGGCUUUCUGGACCAUUUCUGACGCUGAGGCACGAAAGCGUGGGUAGCAAACAGG